AGUUGUAGUGUUUCAAACAGAGCUUUGCAAGAACAUACCUGUAUUGGAACACUACAGCUCC
rnacentral:pre_miRNA from 1 species